AGAGGAUAAAAACCAGAAUCUAGAGAGAGCCAGCUAUGAAGUUAGGGGUACCGGACACAUGCAAAUAGAAACAAUAGAUAGCCAAACAGUGGGACCUGAUCUAUGUGGGAUGAGUUCUGGAAAGGGCAAAGCCAUGGUCCUAGGAUGAUGAGAGGAGGCAAGAUCCUGAGGGCAGGACUUCCACAACUCAGAAAGCAACUAUGAACUCCCAAAGACCUGGAGUCCAAGUUGUAUGUCCAGCUGUAAGUGCUUAUUUGAUGGUGGAGAAAAUGAAAUGGCUUCUAGCUGUCCCAGACAGAACUAAGGUGCCUUGCAACUUCCAAGAUAGCUUGGCAGGGUUGAGUGAACACCAGACUAGCUGGGAUGACCUCACUCAUGAUUACUACCAGACAUCUACACAUCAGAGGCUUCAAAGCAUUGUUGGGAAGAGAAAAAAUCUUAACCCUAGCAUUUAUACUUCCGCCGUAGCUCCCCAUCCACUUCGGAGGGGCCAUAGUGAGUGCUCAUAUUUAAGAAGCACGGUGACUAAGGACCGUAGACGUUCCUUUCCAUCGGCCCCACAUGCAACUAGCCUAGAUAAGUAUUCUCAGUCACAGACGUUCAUGGAGUGCCACAAGUCAGAAGUGGGGCCAACCCAGAAGCUGUGUAAAAAUGUGAAAGAAACUCAGGUAGCCCUGGAGCAGCUGGAGGACACUAGGCAGCUUCAGGAACCAAAGUUACUGGCUCAGGCUGAAACAUCCUUCCUAGGAUGCCUGAUAAAAAACCAUAACCGACAUAAGAAGCCAAGGAAGGGCUGUGUAGCCUCAGGAUACAUGAAGCAAAUGGGAGACCUUCAGUUCCUGGACAAAAUGGACCACAUCGACCCCGAAUAUUCUCUGCAGACACUGAUUGGGCAAAUGGAGUUAAAUGAACCUGAAGUUCUGCCGAGGGUGCCGAUGGAAGAGACAAAGCCAAAAUCAGCCCUGGAGAAGACCCAGGCCUGGGAGUUGUCAGUAGCAAAGGAGAGUGAGUCUAAGUUCAACCCUGCCAUCAACAAAGAGAACCAGAAGUUAUGGAAGAAAUUAGAACGACUUGCUCAAGAUUAUUACAGAGUGGAAGGGACAAGGAAGCAGAUGCUGAGGCAAAAGCAAGAGCUGAAGGACCAACGCUGGGACUCGGUGAUCCGCGGAACAUCAGUAAGGCUGGCAUGGCGGGAGCAUAAGCAACGAUGCCCCAAAGAACGGGAAAAGCUCAAGAGCUCAGUGAGCAGUCCCCAGCACCCUAUAAGAAUAAUUCUGAAUCAAUCCCCACAACACCAGAUGCAGUAAGAAUAACAGAAGAAAUCCAUUUAGACCCGAGUGAGCAAAACACUUUACAGCUGCCUACUGGGAACUGUGCAGCAGGCAACGAUGGGCUGGAAAACCUUGACUGGAGAAAUGGGAGCCCAUCUCUUUGAAGACAGACCUGAAAAAGACUCGGCUUUGUUGCUUCUAUCUCAAGGGCACCGCGACACUGAACUCAAGGUCUCAGAAUACCUGAGAAUGGCCUGUUAAGGUCACAUUUUGGUCUGGUUCAGAAGGAACUGGAUACCCAGUGAACUCUGGAACAGUCUCAGGUAUAACCAGCCUCAUUAUUGUGUCACUGUUCCUAAAACUGUGCAAAGGGUGUCUGAGUCACCAGGAAAAAGCCAGGGCUUUGGUGGGCUGCCCUAGGCUGGAGGGGCAGUCAGAAGCAGGAGACCUUGGGUCCUGUGGGUGUUGAAAUGUUCAUGAGACAUCAGUGAGGGGUAAAGAUGCUACAAGGCAAAUGACAAAGAUUAUGGCCCAAACAUAAAGGACACAUGCUGGCUCAGUCUGCUGAUUCAUCAGUGACUCAGCAUCUGUAAGCUGGCUGCACAGCCCAACUGUAUUUUGGAAAAGGGCAGUGAGAUAAAUUUCCAAAAAAGUCUCUGUGUUCUCUUCUGCCAUCAGCGACAGAAAGAACAAUCACCAGCAAUAACAGUUACACAGAGGCCAAACUUUCAUAUUAAUUAAAAGCCGUGUAAGAUAUAGCUCGGCCAAUUUUUCAAGCCAAAGACAAUGUGGUGCCUGACUAGCAGAUCAAAGUUCACAUCCUGGUUCUGCCAUGUGCAACAUAUGCAAUAUGGGAGGUCACAUUAUCUUUUUACUACACCUUGAGAAAGCUAGCUCUGUAUCAAUGCAGGAACGCAUGCUGGUUUCCAGGACAUAGUCGAUGUUCAAGAAAGGACAAGAGCCACCGUCGCAAGAAUAACAAAAUGUUCUUGCUGUGGAUUUCUUUCUACUGUGAUUGCUGAAAUCAAGGUGUUAGAUGUAAGCCUCCUUCCUGUUCUGGAAAGUGACUAAUUCUGUGAAGAAUGCCCAGGAAGGAAGAAAAGAUUCUUCGGGGAUAUUACAACAAAUCCAUGGUAUUUCGAUGCUAACACCCUUGAGACAAGGAGAGACAAAGGCAGAACAAAUGCACGGCCUAACAUGACCUGUUCCAGCAAAGGAGAGGGAGGAAGUCUGAGAGAACUAACUGAAAAUCUACCUGCCUGUGGGUGGCUGCAGCCCCAAGGCUGAGAGCAUCUCCUUACCACAUCAGCAGCAGUUAAGCAGCAGCAGUAGACUGGCCAGCUGUGUGGCUUCCCAGGAUGGGCAAGCAAGAAAUCAUCCUGGUAACGGAACUUCUCUGGUCCACAUGCAAUAAAAAUGUCAUCGUCACCAAAAAAGUCCUGAAGGCACAUCACCUACAAGAGAAAAGCAUAGUUCUCAGCCAGGGGUCCACACAACAGCGAUCACAACACCACCUCCCCCCCCCCGCCAGACUUCUCCAUAAAGCCAUUUUCCUCUAAUGGAAUCAACAGGGGGAUUUCAAAGGCUCGGCUGUGCAUCUGUUAUCCAGUAAGGAACGAGUUAGUCUCAGGUCUGCAGGAAGGCAGAGAAGGCGACUGGGUGGGUAACUGUCACAUUUAUGACUGGAAACAUCAACAGGCUAUGAGGAUUCCAAGAAUAUGAAAAGAACACAGUGGUUGCUAAAGAAAUUGUCUGUCAUCGCACAGCAGAGAAGACAAGGGAAGGAGUCAUUCCAAUGUCAAGUAACAUGUACUCAUUUACCACUCAAGCUUCGAUGGAUGGAAUCAGUGGAAACCCUGAACUGUCUGACACUCCAGGGGUUUCUGCUGUGCAUCGUUUUGCCUCUUUGCUGCCCACAACAGCCCACUGGAAAAUGGCACUCAGAAAUCACCACUGGUUUAUAGUCAUUGCCUUAAGGUUUGUCUUUCGGAGCUGGUAUUCCAGAUGCCUCACAUCUGUCUCCAACUCGACCUACCAGGUCUCCAGUCGACCCAGUGUCUAUGAGUGAUAAACAGUGAUGUCUGGACAGACAUUAUACUCUAAAAUAAAUGUUUCCACUGGUUUUUAUUCUCUGA
rnacentral:lncRNA from 1 species